rnacentral:lncRNA from 1 species
CCAAGGUUAUAUUCCUAUCUAGCAUACAUGGGGAACAAUUUUAACUUGAAUGAAAGAUAAAAUAACUUACCUUGUUCUUGUUUAUGUUCCUUGAAACCUUGUGAGCCUAGCACCCCAAGUGUGAUGCCUCAAAUGCUUCACACAACAACAAAUGCUCUUGGAAAGACUUUUGAGAGAAUACACACUUCUUAAAAUCGGCCAAGCCCUCUAGUUUCUUAUGUGUAACCGAUUUUGGUGGAUAAUGGGACUCUUAUAUAGUGUUGACACAUCUAGGGUUACACCAUGUAAACCCUAAUGUGUCAUGACCCUUCAUUUCCAUGACCCAUGGGUUUGUAACUCCCAUGGAGCAUCCAUGGAGCAUCCUAUGGGUAGAACCCAACUUGAUAAUCCAUGGAGCGUCUUAGCCCACUAUACAAGAUAUGAAUGAUUUACAUAAUCAACCCAUAUAUUUAAUUAGUUAUCUUUUGAUCACUUAAUUAAUUCCAAAUUAAUUCUUUGAUCAAACUAAUCAAAUAAUAUUAUUAAUAUAUUAGAACUUAUAAUAUAUUAAUAAUCUCCAAGUGUUAUUCCUCUCAUUUAGUCUAUCCAAUUGCAUGGUGCCAUGCAACCCAAAUGGACCAUGCCGGGUCGGGUCAAGUACUAACCCGAAAUAGUUAUGGACUUAGACACCUUAUCCAACAGUCUCCCACUUGGAUAAGUCUAAUAACUAUAUCUCUAGUACUUCAGGAACCGACCGGCAAUCGUAGCUCUUUCAAGGUCUCUCGGAACUGAGAAGAUGAUGAUACGCCAUUUAAGAUAAGUGAUCAUAUAAUCCUCUGUUCUAGAUAUCAGCCGGACAAAUACAUGGAACAAUGUCUUACUUAUUGUCCAGCAGUUUGUUUCUCGAUUUCCGAUUUGUUUGACAAAGAACUUAAUUGAACACAUCAACUUAGUUCUGACCGGGCCCGGUACAUAGGUCAAAACAAAAUCAUCGAGGGGCCCAGAUAUCAGCUUCUAAUCCAAGAAGGAACAGAUAAACUUCGACUCAUAUGUUUGUUCUACCACUCAUUGAAUUACACACAAAAGUACGUUUUAUAACAUCGAGUUACCAAUGCGGUUUCGUACAGUCAAUGCAUAACCAACUUGUAAGUAACAAAUCAUAUCUCUAGGUUUGAAGACUUAUAUGAUAUUACCGUCUCACGAUCACUCGAGAUAGAAUUCCAUGAAGUGAUUCCAGUGAGCGUGGGUUGAGUCCAAUGCUCAGAACUUAUGAGCACUCAUGAUUGUUGUAGCCUUGUCCAACACCUUAGACCUCUACAACCAAUCAUGACAGUCUUGAUUCAUACCUACUUCCGACAUAUGACCGACUGUGGAGGUUUGAAUAAUAUGUUAUACCAAACAAAAUUAUUCUGGAAGUCAAAACAUGCAAAAGAAAUAUAGUAAACGAUCGACAAGAGAUAGCAACACUUUACUCAUAAAUAAAACACCUUUUAUUCAUCAUCUAAUGUCAAUUACACUUUACAAAUUUCUGGGUUAUCUAACUACUAAAACUUAUAUCAUCCUUCAGCCCUAUGCUCCGAGCAUGCUGGAGAUGCUUAACCCUACUCAGUCCCUUCGUGAGGGGAUCUGCUGGGUUCUCAUCCGAUGAUACCCUCUUUGCCACGAGGAGUCCUUCUUCGAUCCGAUGUCUAAUGAAAUGGUAUUUUCUGUCGAUGUGUCUGGAUCUCCCAUGAUCCCUUGGUUCCUUGGCUAAGGCAACAGCACUUUCACUAUCACAGAAAAUUUCCAUUGGCUCUUUAAUAGCUGGUACAACUCCAAGGUCUCCAAUGAAGUUCUUCAGCCAUAUCGCCUCCUUUGCUGCUUCACUAGCUGCAAUAUACUCUGAUUCACAAGUAGAAUCUGCCACUGUCUCUUGCUUGGAACUCUUCCAAGAAAUUGCUCCUCCGUUUAGGGUAAAGACCCAGCCCGACUGAGAGCGGAAAUUAUCCCUAUCAGUCUGGAAGCUAGCAUCACUAUACCCUACAACUCUCAAGUCAUCACUCCCACCGAGGGUAAGGACCCAGUCCUUAGUCCUCCGUAGGUACUUGAGGAUAUUCUUUACCGCAGUCCAGUGUGCCUUGCCAGGGUUCGCCUGAUACCUGCUAACCAUGCUCAAGGCAAAAGCUACAUCGGGUCGAGUACACGUCAUAGCAUACAUGAUCGAUCCUACAGCCGAAGCGUAAGGUGUUCGACUCAUUUCUGCUAUCUCAGCCUCAGUGCUAGGGCUUUGUGUCUUACUCAAUCUGGUGUUACUCUGGAUGGGUAACUCUCCUUUCUUGGAAUCCUGCAUGCUGAAUCUCUUCAGCACCUUAUCCAAGUAGGUACUCUGACUAAGUCCAAUUAGUCUUUUACUCCGAUCUCUCAAGAUUCUUAUCCCUAGAAUAUAGGCAGCUUCACCAAGGUCCUUCAUAGCGAAACACUUCCCAAGCCAGGACUUUACUUCCUGCAGGGUUGGAAUGUCGUUUCCUAUGAGUAGUAUGUCAUCCACAUACAAUACCAAAAAGCUAACUAUACUCCCACUAGCCUUGACAUACACACAAGAUUCAUCUUCACUCCUAGAAAAGCCAAAUUCCUUGACCUUUUCAUCAAAGCAAAGAUUCCAUCUGCGAGGUGCUUGCUUCAAUCCAUAAAUGGAUUUCUCAAGCUUACACACUCUAUUAGGGUACUCGUUGCUGACAAAACCCUCUGGCUGACUCAUGUAAACAUCUUCAGCCAACUUUCCAUUAAGGAAAGCGGUUUUGACAUCCAUCUGCCAUAUUUCAUAGUCAUGAAAUGCAGCUAUGGCUAACAGAACCCGAAUAGACUUAAUCUUGGCUACCGGAGAAAAGGUCUCAUCAUAAUCCACUCCAGGAAUUUGAGAGAAGCCCUUUGCAACCAGUCUAGCCUUAUAAGUGUGUACUUUACCAUCCAUGUCGGUCUUCUUCUUGAAGACCCAUUUGCACCCUACUGUCUUACGACCUGGUACAUUUUCAACCAAGUUCCAAACUUGAUUGUCAUACAUGGAUUGUAUCUCGCUAUCCAUAGCCUCUUUCCAUUUAGCAGACUCGGGGCCUGCCAUGGCUUCCUCGUAGCUGUUAGGGUCAUCUUGACUUACUAGUGUCUCAUCACUAAUAAGUGUCUCACCUUCUGCAGUAAUAUGGAAUCCAUAGUAAUGCUCAGGUGCACUCCUAACUCUCGUGGAACGUCUCAGAGGUACAGAUUUGUCAAUUGGCUCAACAGGAGUUUCCUCCUCAAGUUGAGGGCUAGAGUUUGAAGUUCCUUCACCGCUUGAUUCUUGAAUUUCUUCAAGAUCAAUUUGCCUCCCACUGUCUCCUUGGCUUAUAAACUCUCUUUCUCGAAAGACUCCUCUUCUUGCUACAAAGACCACAUUGUCACUAGGUCUGUAGAAGAGGUAACCAAAGGAUCGCUGUGGGUAACCGAUGAAAAUACACCUCUCGCUUCGAGGUUCGAGCUUAUCAUGAGUCUCGCGUCUCACGAAAGCCUCGCAACCCCAAAUCUUGAUGUGGUCUAGUUUAGGUACUUUACCAGUCCACAUCUCGUGAGGAGUUUUGGCAACUUUCUUUGUAGGGACUAGAUUAAGAAUAUGGGCGGCAGUCUCUAAGGCAUACCCCCAGAAUGAGAUUGGUAGCGUAGCUCGACUCAUCAUGGAACGAACCAUAUCUAACAAGGUUCGAUUACGCCUCUCAGCCACACCAUUCAACUGUGGUGUCCUGGGAGGUGUCAAUUGUGAGACUAUCCCACAUUCCCUUAGAUAGUCGAGGAACUCUGAACUAAGAUACUCACCACCACGAUCGGAUCGAAGCAUCUUAAUGUUCCUGCCCAAUUGAUUCUCGACUUCCUGUUUAAAUUCCUUAAACCUCUCGAAAGUCUCUGACUUAUGCUUGAUCAAGUAGACAUAUCCAUAUCUACUAUAAUCAUCAGUAAAAGUCAAAUAAUAACGAUUAGCAUCCCUUGUGGCAUGUUUGAAUGGUCCACACACAUCCGUGUGUAUAAGGUCCAACAAACCUUCACCCCUCUCACACGAACCUGUGAAGGGUGACUUUGUCAUUUUUCCAAGUAAGCAUGAUUCGCAACUAUCAUCUGACUUUAGGUCAAACGACUCCAAGACUCCAUCCUUUUGGAGUUGGCCUAUGCGUUUCUUGCUUAUAUGUCCAAGACGACAAUGCCAUAAAGAUGCUUUAUCCAAGUUAUUAUUAGUAGAAUCAAUACACAAAACAUUAUUUCCCAAGUUAUCUACAACAGAUACAGCUUCAUACACACCAUCACAAGGUAAUGCUUUAAAAUAAAAGACAUUAUUAUAGAAAACAUCUAUAGAACCAACUUCAUUAUUAAAUGAAAAGGUAAACCCUUGUUUGUACAAAGCAUGAAAGGAAAUAAUAUUUCUUGCCAUUCCUGGCGAAUAACAACACUUAUUCAAAUCUAAACUAAACCCACUACUUAGCGAUAAAGUAUAAACUCCAAUCUUGGUAACAGGUAUAGCUUUCCUAUUCCCCAUGAUCAAGUUUAUCCUUCCUUGCUCCACAUCCUCACUUCUUCUUAGUCCCUGCAAGUCACAACAAAUGUGAAUACCACACCCGGUAUCAAGGACCCAAGAAUUAGAAUGGGGUGAGUUAUUAGAAAUGAUAGUGUAAAUACCUGCAUGGUUGGGUUUAACUUUCCCAUCCUUCACAUCUUGCUGGUAUUUUGGGCAGUUCCGCUUCCAAUGAGCUUUUUCAUGGCAAUAGAAGCAUUCAGCCUCUUUUGGGUCAGAAGAAGGAGUAACGAAACCUUUCUUGGUUCCACUUGAAGAAGAGCCAUCAAGGGUCCGAGCCUUGGUACCCUUAGAAGAGCUCUUUCUCUUCCUCCCUCGACUUUUCCCGAUUGCCAAAACCGGAGUAGAGUUUUGAGUAGGAGUGAUAGCAACCGACUUCCCCUUAAGACCUGUUUCUGCGGUCUUGAGAAGUCCCUGAAGUUUGCUGAGGGUGACUUCUUCCUUGUUCAUGUGAUAUGUCAUGCGGAAUUGAUCAUAGCACGAUGGUAAGGAAUGCAAAAUAAUAUCUAUUGCAAGAUCCUCCGGGAAGUUCACAUUAAGCUUCAGCAAACGAUCCACAUACCUUUGCAUUUUCUGCAUGUGGCUCGUGACGGAUUCCCCGUCCUUCAUCAUGGUUGUUAUCAUGGAGCAGAUGAUUUCAUACCUCUCUUGUCUUGCACUUUGAUGGUAUCUUUCCAUCAAAUCUUGGUGCAUGUCAUAAGGGUAGAAAUCCUCAUAAGACUUUUGGAGUUCCGCUGUCAUCGUGGCCAUCAUGAUGCAAGCCACUUUCGUAGCAUCCCUUUCAUGUGCCCGAAAUUCAGCGAUCUCCUGAGGAGUUGCAGUGGACUCAUCAAUCUCCUUAAGCUCCUUGUCAAGGACAUAUUCUUUGUCCUCGUAGCGGGUAAUCAUCCUGAUGUUUCUGAUCCACUCAUUGAAGUUGGAUCCAUCAAAGGUGACUUUCCCACACAAGUUCAUAAGGGUAAAGGAGCCAUUAGGAUUAGAGCCAGAAGCAUUGUUGAAAGACAUCUGAAGGAAAGAGGACAAGAUUAGUUUAGAUAUAAGAGAGUCCUUAAUAAAACACCCAAAUGUAAUAUUAAGGCUAGGAUCCAAUCACAAUAUAAUAUAACUUAGAAGAGGUAUGCCGUAAUCUAAGCUAUAUCAUAUUUGAAAGGUAGGUGAAUGACGAUUCACCAAUUUCCACCACGAAAACCGCAAUAUUUUAGUAUUAGGUUUUUGAAUGGUUCUUAGAAAUUCCUAGAUUCUUUGAGAUUCAAUGAACUUUUCAAAGGCAUGUUUCAAUCUCGAGUGUGCCCUCCAAGUUUUGUGACUGGGAUACCGAGGAUCACAAAACGAGGUGUGAAGUAACCAUGCAAAUCACUUGGUACCCUUAAAGUUUAUCACUCAAUCGAUGUGCCGGUUAACCACACACGCUCCAUCGAUACUAUAAUAAACCCUAAGUCACCCUUUACCUACCUUGUUAAGUCCAAGUUAGUGUGCCGGUUAACCACACACGCUCCACCAACGACUUAAUCAAAGUGUAAAGUGUAAUUUCAUGGAAUAGCACCUUAUUCACAUUUUUCCUAAAGUAACUAAGAUUGGGAAUUUAAUAAAACAUUUAGUUACUUUAUAAUAUUCAUCAUACUUUGAAUGAGAAUUAAUAAGUCCUUGUCUUACCCGUUCGGCUAACGACCCUCCACCGAUCAAGCAAGCGGUGGGUGAGAGUGGACACCCAUUAAGUCACCAUUUUAUAGGCAACAACCUUAUACCCACCUUAUAGACCGGCUUCGUGAAUGAGGCGUACUAGCGGUAAGACGACUUUGUUCUUAUACAUAUAUAUAUAAUUAUUAAAUCAUAAUAAUAUAAGUAUAAGGGUUGAAUUUUAACUUUUAAAAUUCUAGGGGUUGGAACUAAAGUUUUAACUUAACUUUACUUGUUCCAAAACUUGAGGGCAAGUUUUGUAAACUUUCAAAACUUUUCAUUUCUUGUAACUUAUGAGUUUAAUAGAGUAAUAAAAUGAGGACUUUUCAUUUUUCCUAACUCUUGUGUUCUUUUAAUGGUUUUUAAUCCAAGAGACUUUUGGUUUUCCAUAACUUGAGGACAAGUUAUGGACUCCAUUAAAACACAUUAUGAUCAUGAAUUAAUCUACCACAUAGGUUACAAAUAAUUCCUAUGAUCAUCUAAACAUCAUAAGAACAAGAAUAUGAAUAUGAACACUUUCAAGAAUCAAAAUCACAUUUAAUCUUUGUAAUUUUGAUAACUAGUUGUUGUAAAUGAGUUAGAAAAGACAUUACACCUUCUAAAAUAAGUUUUCAAGUACCAAAACAUUUUAGGGUAAUGAUUCUAAUCCAUUUCCAGCAACUCAAGUCGAAAUUCUGCACUCUGUCGACCCUACUCGCCGAGUGCAUAAACCUACUCGCCGAGUAGGUUGAAGAUACACAUGAACUCGACGAGUCCUCCCCAUGGACUCGCCGAGUCCAUCAGUCAGACAGCAGAAUUUUCGACUUUCUUCAACUUUUAAGCACAAAUAACAAACAAACAAGCCUAGGCUCUGAUACCACUGAUGGGUUUUGAGCAUUCUAACACUUCCUAAGUGUACAUGCAACCCUAAUAACCUUGGAUCUAUGUUUGUCUAAUUAUCAUGCAAAGUUGAAUUCCAAGGUUAUAUUCCUAUCUAGCAUACAUGGGGAACAAUUUUAACUUGAAUCAUAGAUAGAAUAACUUACCUUGUUGUUGCUUGUGUUCCUUGAAACCUUGUGAGCCUAGCACCCCAAGUGUGAUGCCUCAAAUGCUUCACACAACACCAAAUGCUCUUGGAAAGACUCUUGAGAUAACACACACUUCUCAAAAUCGGCCAAGCCCUCUAGUUUCUUAGUGUUCAACUUGUGUAGCCAAUUUUGUGGAGAAUGGGACUCUUAUAUAGUGUUGGCACAUCUAGGGUUACACCAUGUAAACCCUAAUGUGUCAUGACUCUUCAUUUCCAUGACCCAUGGGUUUGUAACUCCCAUGGAGCAUCCAUGGAGCAUCCUAUGGGUAGAACCCAACUUGAUAAUCCAUGGAGCCUCUUAGCCCACUAUACAAGAUAUGAAUGAUUUACAUAAUCAACCCAUAUAUUUAAUUAGUUAUCCUUUGAUCACUUAAUUAAUUCUAAAUUAAUUCUUGAUCAAACUAAUCAAAUAAUAUUAUUAAUAUAUUAGAACUUAUAAUAUAUUAAUAAUCUCCAAGUGUUAUUACUCUCAUUUAGUCUAUCCAAUUGCAUGGUGCCAUGCAACCCAAAUG